UAAGGAAUAUUGGUCAAUGGAGGCAACUCUGAACCAGCCAUGCCGCGUGCAGGAUGAAGGCGCUAUGCGUCGUAAACUGCUUUUGUACGGGAGAAAAUCAUGGUACGUGUACCGUGUUGAUAGUACCGUAAGAAUAAGGAUCGGCUAACUUCGUGCCAGCAGCCGCGGUAAGACGAAGGAUCCAAGCGUUAUCCGGAUUCAUUGGGUUUAAAGGGUGCGUAGGCGGGUUUGUAAGUCAGUGGUGAAAGCCGGCAGCUCAACUGUCGAAUUGCCAUUGAUACUGCAGACCUAGAAUAUAGAUGAUGUUGGCGGAAUAUGACAUGUAGCGGUGAAAUGCAUAGAUAUGUCAUAGAACACCGAUUGCGAAGGCAGCUGACAAAACUAUAAUUGACGCUGAUGCACGAAAGUGCGGGGAUCAAACAGG
rnacentral:rRNA from 1 species